UGCUGUAGCCUCUGGAAGGGAGUCAUGGUGUGCAGCUCACACUUAAGUAGUUCUAUUCCUCCUUGUUUAGGGUGAAGGAUCUACUAACUUACUUAGAAUUCUUUUGCGUGGCAGAGACUCCUUAUGAAGAAUCCUGAUUGAUAUGCUGGAACCUGGUGAAGCUCCUGGAGGUAAAACCCAUGAACCUCAAGAGCACUGUUGCAGUGAGCAAAGUAUGGAUGGCAAGGAAAUCCAAGAAGAAUUUUUCAGACCCAGCUGGAAACUAAAGAGGCUAGACCCAGAAGGAAGAGUGUUUGUGAACGCACACUUCUGCUGGAGGUGCAGGUGUUGGAAGGCAGUAUUUGUAGACAUUACAUUAAUGUAAAAUA